CGGACGGGUGAGUAAUGCUUGGGAAUCUAGCUUAUGGAGGGGGAUAACUACGGGAAACUGUAGCUAAUACCGCGUAAUAUCGAAAGAUUAAAGUGUGGGACCUUCGGGCCACAUGCCAUAGGAUGAGCCCAAGUGGGAUUAGGUAGUUGGUGAGGUAAAGGCUCACCAAGCCGACGAUCUCUAGCUGGUCUGAGGGGAUGACCAGCCACACUGGGACUGAGACACGGCCCAG
rnacentral:rRNA from 1 species